GAUAUUUUUAUAAGUGGGGCGAGUUGUCAGACCUUUAUUCAGUGGGGUUUAAACCCUUUUCGUUAAUAAGUGAGAUGUCAGUGAUUGUUUAGUUUGAUUUUACACUUCUUCAAAAGUUGGGCGCGUCGGUAAACAAGAGUGGGUCGAUUGUUUUCAUAAAGUGGCGAUAUAGGUUGGGCCGAUUGGCCAGUUGGGCGAGUUGACAUUAUUUGAUAUCUACUCAUCGUGUUCGGGGGUCAAAAAGGGUAUAAAUCAUAUAGUAAUGUAUAAAGUAUAUUAAAAUGGUUGUGUGGCGUUCUUAA
rnacentral:lncRNA from 1 species